AAUGAACGUUGGCAGCGUGGAUUAGGCAUGCAAGUCGAGCGACAAGGUAUGAAGUGCUUGCACGGAUUACUGGAGGAGCGGCAAACGGGGUAGUAAUACAUCAGAACGUAUCCUUGUGUCGGGAAUAGCCACGGGAAACUGUGGGUAAUGCCCGAUAACAUCUAUGGAUCAAAGGUCCGCCGCACAGGGAGCGGCCGAUGCGAGACUAGGUAGUUGGUGGGGUAAUGGCCUACCAAGCCGAAGAUCUCUAGGGGGUGUGAGAGCAUGGCCCCCACCACUGGGACUGAGACACUGCCCAGACAUCUACGGAUGGCUGCAGUCGAGAAUCUUUGGCAAUGGGCGAAAGCCUGACCAAGCGACGCUGCGUGCGGGAUGAAGGCCC
rnacentral:rRNA from 1 species